AGUUGGCCGGUCUGUCGCGUGCGCGUUUCGCGCAGGAGGAAAGUCCGGGCAACAUAGAGCAUCCUACUUCCUAACAGAAAGCUGUCCGCGAGGGUAGAGUAACGUAGAAGAAAACAACCGCCGUUCCUUUCGGGGUGCGGUAAGGGUGAGAAGGUGGGGUAAGAGCCCACCAGCCGUAUGGUGACAUAUCGGGCUGUACGUCUUAGGAGUUGUAAGGUCAUGUAAACCGGCGUUAUGAGAGUUGCUCGCUCCAUGUCGGAGGGUAGACCGCUAAAGUGUCGUGGUGACACGCCACUCAGAUAAAUGACAGGCACCUUAUAUUUAUAUAAGGUACAGAACUCGGCUUACAGGCUGACUGC
rnacentral:RNase_P_RNA from 1 species